GAAUGGGUUUGGCUUUAUGGCAGGCCCGACCCCAUGGGCCUCUCCUAGUGUCCCCUGGCAGAGCAAAUUCUAACUCUGAAACAUUGCCUGGCUUUGACCCUUGGGCUUCCGACACAGAUGUGGGUUGCACAGUG